UGCGGUCGAUCUAGGUACGGUAGUAGGUCCUCCGGUGGCAAUCAUAAGAAGAGUCCCUGCCAGUGGGGGAAGCGAGGUGGUUGUGGGUGUGCGCGUAGUGGUACUGCACAACCGUCCGUGGCGUGCGUGGUGUGGUGCAACGCCGCCGGGUAGGUGCAGGAGAAUUUAAAGAAAAUCGCUGUCGGUGGCAAGUUUUUCGCGUCUAAGGACAAGGACGAACAGCGGUGUGAUAGUUUUCCGGACGCUUCCCGAAGUCUCGCGGACUCGGGCUUACUCUUUGAAGAGUUGAGAGUGAGAGUCAGUUUAUCGCUGUAUGGUGUAGUUUUCAUUGGGGAUUUGAGAAAAGCAAAAAGCUAAUUAGUGACGAGUGCGCGGGUGGCAGGCAGAACGUGUCUUGGCGGAAUCGUGUAGGACGAGCUACUGGGGAAUAUUGUUGUUUAUCAGUGGGAACCCGAAUCGAGCGAGGAGAGCCAACUGGGAGAUAUUACCACCCAUCUACCAUCGGAAGAGGAGUCCAACGAGUGAGAGGGAGAGAGUGAGCCUGGGUAGUGUUGACGUUGUCGAGUGGGUGGUGGUUGUUUGAAGCUGCGUAGUGUUUGUUUUGAAGUCCAUAUACGAAAAAAGAAGACGGUGGGUAGUAGUGAAUGAAGAAACAUUGGUUAACUUUUUUUUUAAUCUGUGGUGCGGUAAUUCUUAGCAGCAGUCAAGUUGUUAACGGAAAAGAAUCCCCCGGAAAAGCGGAAAAUCGGCUCCAACCUCCAAUGGAUUAGCUGGGUUCAGUUCAAAGGAUUUGAAGCGAAAAAAAAAAUUGUGGAAAUAACCCGCAGAAGUAGUUGAAUAUAUGUGCUGCAGAGUUGUUGAAAACCCGGUGACCGGAAAAUAAAAGUUGCAGUACUCAGUGCUACAAACGGGAGUGUGCAGUCGACGUUUGAGUUAGUGGAUUGGGUGCUGAAGUGACCUUCAACGUAUUGAUUUUUGUUGCAUCAACGUUCUUCCCGGAAGUAAAGAGGAAAUUGAAAAAGAACUGCACGUCACGUGAGAGUGAAGGGCUUCUGAUAAAUUCAUGAAUAAUUCAGUUCCAUUAAAGGAUAAUCCGUUUAUCGUGGAAUCAACUGUUGGGGAGAAACUAUGGUCAUUCGCGUAAAAUUUAGUGAUUAAUUAUUAUUGAAGAAUAAUUCAUGCAGUGGAACCAGUCGUAUUGAUCGAGUAAACAACAAACGUGUUUGCAAACGUCCAGGUGUGAAAACAAAUUGAAAAAAAAAAAACAUUAAGUGUUUGUGCAGUGCUCGAAGUACAGCCAUCAAAAAAAGUUUUAUCAAAAGAAAACAAAAAUUGUGUGUUUGGUUACAUUGCCUAAAAAGAAAAAGCUAAAAAUUGCUGAAAAAUAAAAUACUCAAGCGAGAAAAAAAGCAAACUUGUUUAUUCAUAUCUGCAUUCGCUCAUGACCCGGUAGAUUUGCUCACUGUUUGGAUUACGGAAAGUUGGACAGACAGGAGAACGGUGCAUCCGUGCAUAGGUUGGCUAUUUUGGGAUCUGCAUUGCCACUGUUUGUUUUGAAAUUGCUCCAACAAAUCUUUGUGGCACGUAAACAAAGUCGUCCUAAGUGCGGAAGGAAUGGGCGCUUAAUGAAGACUGAUGUAACAAUUCUUGUUCGUUGUGCAGCAAUCAAGUUAUUUUGGGCCGAUCGAAGUCAUAUCAACAUAUUACAGGUAUCAUGAGACAAUAACUUCGGACUGAUUCCGGGAAUAGCCGGUCCAUUACCAAGAAAUGAAGCAAUAAGGUAAGCCAACAGAAUGUCAAGUUAAAUGUCUCGUUUGAAGCACAAUUACCUCGACAAAUGUGUGUACUUGAAUUGUAUGCAACA